GACGUAGGGCGCGAGCGUUGUCCGGAUUUAUUGGGCGUAAAGAGCUCGUAGGCGGCUUGUCGCGUCGUCCGUGAAAACUUGGGGCUCAACCCCAAGCUUGCGGUCGAUACGGGCAGACUAGAGUGCGGUAGGGGAGAUCGGAAUUCCUGGUGUAGCGGUGAAAUGCGCAGAUAUCAGGAGGAACACCGGUGGCGAAGGCGGAUCUCUGGGCCGUAACUGACGCUGAGGAGCGAAAGCAUGGGGAGCGAACAGG
rnacentral:rRNA from 1 species